CUUACCAGGUCUUGAAUACUACGCUAACCUGAGAGAUCAGGCGUUCCCUUCGGGGACGUGGAUACAGGUGGUGCAUGGUUGUCGUCAGCUCGUGUCGUGAGAUGUUGGGUUAAGUCCCGCAACGAGCGCAACCCUUAUUAUCAGUUGCCAGCAUUAAGUUGGGCACUCUGGUGAGACUGCCGGUGACAAACCGGAGNAGGUGGGGAUGACGUCAAAUCAUCAUGCCCCUUAUGACCUGGGCUACACACGUGCUACAAUGGAUGGUACAACGAGUUGCGAACUCGCGAGACCAAGCUAAUCUCUUAAAGCCAUUCUCAGUUCGGAUUGUAGGCUGCAACUCGCCUACAUGAAGUCGGAAUCGCUAGUAAUCGCGGAUCAGCAUGCCGCGGUGAAUACGUUCCCGGGCCUUGCACACACCGCCCGU
rnacentral:rRNA from 1 species